rnacentral:lncRNA from 1 species
UAUGAGAGUCCGUGCUAGUUGACGGAUAUCCUUCGAUCCAUGCUUUCUCAGAUGAUUCACAGCCUUUCCAAUUUCAGUUGACUGCACAAUUUAAUUUCUGAUUGUUAAGAGAACAAUCUUAAAAAAAGUACUAGAGAAACAACACAAAGUUCCCCCAAAGCUACUAAGAAAGAUCAAUUCUAACCUUCAGAAGAUCGACACAGAGUUGCAUCAGUUGAAGCCUCCUCAGAGACUCAAACAGCACCGAGUCAGACU